UCCUCUGUAGUUCAGUCGGUAGAACGGCGGACUGUUAAUCCGUAUGUCACUGGUUCGAGUCCAGGCAGCGGUGCCA
rnacentral:tRNA from 1 species